rnacentral:rRNA from 1 species
GGGUUGUGAGGUUAAGCGACUAAGCGUACACGGUGGAUGCCCUGGCAGUCAGAGGCGAUGAAGGGCGUGCUAAUCUGCGAUAAGCGCCGGUAAGGUGAUAUGAACCGUUAUAACCGGCGAUACCCGAAUGGGGAAACCCAGUGUGACUCGUCACACUAUCAUUAACUGAAUCCAUAGGUUAAUGAGGCGAACCGGGGGAACUGAAACAUCUAAGUACCCCGAGGAAAAGAAAUCAACCGAGAUUCCCCCAGUAGCGGCGAGCGAACGGGGAGGAGCCCAGAGCCUGAAUCAGCAUGUGUGUUAGUGGAAGCGUCUGGAAAGGCGCGCGAUACAGGGUGACAGCCCCGUACACAAAAGCGCAUGUGCUGUGAGCUCGAUGAGUAGGGCGGGACACGUGGUAUCCUGUCUGAAUAUGGGGGGACCAUCCUCCAAGGCUAAAUACUCCUGACUGACCGAUAGUGAACCAGUACCGUGAGGGAAAGGCGAAAAGAACCCCGGCGAGGGGAGUGAAAAAGAACCUGAAACCGUGUACGUACAAGCAGUGGGAGCCCCACCACCAAAGCAUUUGCUGUACCGCGUUGACGGAGCGAAGCGACGUCAAACCGAUAAAACAGCAGUGUAAAGUGAGCCGCAGGGCGCUUUGC